rnacentral:lncRNA from 1 species
AUCUUGGGGAGCGGAGGAAGCUUUGGUAAAGGUGGGCAUGGCUUCUUGGGGAAUGGUGGGAUCUUUGGAAGUGGCGGCAGUAGCUUAAAGAUUGGUGGCUUUGGUUUGUAGAUAGGUAUUAAUGGUGGAAGCACUUUUGGGAUUGGAGGUUUUGGUUUGUAAGUCGGAACUAGUGGUGGAAGUACUUUUGGGAUUGGAGGUUUUGGUUUAAAGAUGGGAAUUGGUGGGGGAAGAACUUUCGAGAUUGGGGGUUUUGGUUUGUAGAUGGGAAUUGGUGGUGGAAGCACUUUUGGGAUUGGGGGUUUUGGUUUGUAGAUGGGAAUUGGUGGAAGCACCUUCGGGAUUGGGGGUUUUGGUUUGUAGAUGGGAAUUGGUGGUGGAAGCACUUUUGGGAUUGGGGGUUUUGGUUUGUAGAUGGGAAUCGGUGGUGGAAGAACCUUCGGGAUUGGUGGUUUUGGUUUGUAGAUGGGAAUUGGUGGAAGCAAUUUCGGGAUUGGGGGUUUUGGUUUGUAGAUGGGAACUGGUGGUGGAAGCACCUUUGGGAUUGGGGGUUUGGGUUUGUAGAUGGGAAUUGGUGGAAGCACCUUCGGGAUUGGAGGUUUUGGUUUGUAGAUGGGAAUUGGUGGAAGCACCUUCGGGAUUGGGGGUUUUGGUUUGUAGAUGGGAAUUGGUGGAAGCACCUUCGGGAUUGGGGGUUUUGGUUUGUAGAUGGGAAUUGAUGGUGGAAGCACUUUCGGGAUUGGGGGUUUUGGUUUGUAGAUGGGAAUUGGUGGAAGCAACUUCGGGAUUGGGGGUUUUAGUUUGUAGAUGGGAAUUGGUGGUGGAAGCACUUUCGGGAUUGGAGGUUUUGGUUUGUAAAUAGGGAUUGGUGGUGGAAUCACCUUUGGAAUUGGUGGUUUUGGUUUAUAAAAGGGAACUGGUGGUAUUUUUGGAAUGGGAGGAAGUGGCUUUUUGAACUUUGGAAUUGGAGGCAGUGGCUUCUUGAAUUUAGG